rnacentral:tRNA from 1 species
GGGGUUGUGGCUCAGUGGUAGAGCACUCACCUCGCAUGUGAGAGACCCUGGGUUCGAUCCUCAGCAUCACACA